rnacentral:rRNA from 1 species
UACGGGGGGUGCGAGCGUUGUCCGGAAUCACUGGGCGUAAAGGGCGCGUAGGCGGCUCGGUAAGUAGGGGGUGAAAUCCUGCGGCUCAACCGCAGGGCUGCCUUCUAAACUGUCGAGCUCGAGCACGGUAGAGGCAGAUGGAAUUCCCGGUGUAGCGGUGGAAUGCGUAGAGAUCGGGAAGAACAUCAGUGGCGAAGGCGGUCUGCUGGGCCGUUGCUGACGCUGAGGCGCGACAGCGUGGGGAGCAAACAGG